AGACUCCUACGGGAGGCAGCAGUAGGGAAUCUUCCGCAAUGGACGAAAGUCUGACGGAGCAACGCCGCGUGAGUGAAGAAGGUUUUCGGAUCGUAAAACUCUGUUGUUAGGGAAGAACACGUACGAGAGUAACUGCUCGUACCUUGACGGUACCUAACCAGAAAGCCACGGCUAACUACGUGCCAGCAGCCGCGGUAAUACGUAGGUGGCAAGCGUUGUCCGGAAUUAUUGGGCGUAAAGCGCGCGCAGGUGGUUCUUUAAGUCUGAUGUGAAAGCCCCCGGCUCAACCGGGGAGGGUCAUUGGAAACUGGGGAACUUGAGUGCAGGAGAGGAAAGUGGAAUUCCACGUGUAGCGGUGAAAUGCGUAGAUAUGUGGAGGAACACCAGUGGCGAAGGCGACUUUCUGGCCUGUAACUGACACUGAGGCGCGAAAGCGUGGGGAGCAAACAGGAUUAGAUACCCUGGUAGUCCA
rnacentral:rRNA from 1 species